GUGAUUUCUUAGGACUUUAAUAGUAUAGCUGAUGUUAGGUCAUUAAUGAGGGCAGAUUUAAAAUGGAAGCCUGAGAAUGUGAUUUUAAGUGUAUUUUUUCUCCUCUAUAUAAGAGUUGUAAAAUGGAAAUCUAUCAAUUACCUGCUUAAGAAUCUCUCGUAGCUUCCUUUUGCCUAGCAUAUAAAAUCUGAACUGAAUCUUUUAUUCAAUAACUGACAUCAAUGUUUUCUUCUUUUCUCAUUCUUCUUAAUACUUUUUCAGCUCAAGUCAGACUAUUUUCAAGUCUGGAUUUUUUUUUCAGCCCUACCUUUGUAUUGUCAUCCAUAUUGUCUGUCUGCCUGAACCUCUUUAUUUUUCUAUCAACCCCUAUUUUUCUCCAUCUUAAAGCUCUAAUUCGUAGCCCUGCUCUAGGAGGCCCUCCAUGAUUGAUACUAACUGUGGCUGUUGUUUGGUUCUUGGCUUGGUUGGUUUUUAUUACUCUGGGCCCCCUCUUCUAGCUCUUUUAUUAAUACCUCAGAGAAUAGUUUGCAAAAACUAUGGCAACUUUACUAAUAUUUAGCUUUCAUCAUGGACUUAAUGGCAAAUGAGUGACAAACUUGUCUCCCUUGACAGUAGGCAUGAUUUCUGCUGCCUAUUGAAUUUCAAUGCUAUUGUGUUCUAUUUAAAAUUACUAAAACUCUCAUUUAUCUAUGAAGCCCUUAGCCCCACAGAUCUGCCUCAUGUGCUCAGUUUGUCUGUUUUAUAGUGUCUGUGCUCCUCAGGAGUCUAGAUAUUUUGGCCUGUGAAAACUUUCUCCCCUAGGGGUUUUGAUGACACCAUUUUAUGGUGAGGUGUCUCCUCUGGUAAGUUCUGAAUAUGGUGACACAUACAUUUAUUAAAUUAAUUUUUAAAAUUAGAAAUACAUAAACAUGUUAAAAAUCUCAACUGUUGUAUAGUGAAAUGCAAUCUUCCUUCCUCUUCUUCCUCCAGUCUCCUAGUUUCCCCGUCCAGAAGCAGUUACAGUUGUGUGCCACCUUCUAGAAAAAUUCACUGCAUAUACAAGAGAGGGGGAGAAAGCUAUGGAUUUUACUGGUUCACUUAAUAUAUUUGGAGCUUGUGUCCUAUCACUCAUAUUUUUAAGGACAUAUAGGAUUCCACUUUUUGAAUGUACCUUAAUUUCUUUAACCAGUUCUGUACUGAUGGGCAUUUAUCAUAUUAUCACUUUUCAUUCUUAUAAGCAGUACGUAUACAGUUUUGAAAAUGUAGAUGAUAUCUGUUGCAUAGACUACUAAAAAUAAAGUUGCUCAGCCAAAGGGAAGCACAUUUUAAAUUUUUAUGAAUUUGGGUAAAUUUCCCUUCAAUGAAGUUGCAUCAAUUUCCAUUCCCACCAAGAAUAUGUGACAGCUGUAUCUGGCAAACAUAUGUAUUUCCCUGGAACUUUGAUCUAUUUGAAAGAAGACUAGGAACACAUUUACAGUACUGUUACCAACAUCUUCUUCACUUUUGAUUUUUCUGUAAUUCUCCCUGCCAAAAUUUAACAGAACGCUGUCAUUUUCCUGACUCAUCGUCCUUUUAUUUCCACUUUGUAAAAAUGUCUGUGUUUGGUUUUAUGUUUUUAGGGGUGGCAUAGAAUCUUCCACCAGAACCCUGGAAGUGUAGGUCAGGAUGUUAGAAAUUCUUCUAAUAAAUAGUGUCCAGGAAACACUUCAUUAGAGUAAUUCUCUGGCACAGGGAGUCCUGGGUGGUGGCUCUUGUGACAAGCCCCUUUACCUAUGGUAUGUUGGAAAUUUAACCACAACCUUAGGGCAUGCAAUGAUUGUCUUUCCUUUAGGUGUUUAACUCAUAUAAUGUCUUAAAGAUAAAUGGCACCAGUAAUAUUUUAACAAUGUUCGGGUAUCCUUUGUUUCCAUAGUUACCUGGGUUUCUGUUAGCUUAAGACUUUAGAUGUGUAGCUUCAAACUCUGGGUUCUUCUUCAACUAGGUCAAGAGUUCACACAUUUUUCCACCCACUGGGCAGGCAAACCAAGUUGUAAUUGUUGCUUAUGAAGAGGAUCCUCAAAUGGUACAACACUCAAUUAGGUUAGAUUAAAUUCAGAGCAAUAAAAUAUUUCUGAGUAUGUUCUCAGAGAAACCCACAUCUUAGUUUUCCUUAUCUGAGAUCAUCUUUACCAGUUAAGAGGGCACACUUCAAAUAAUACAAACAUUCUUUAUAAAUUCAUUAUUUCCUAAAUCCCUUCCUAGUUUCAGUUUUGAUGAGCUCUUUUCAUAACUCUAGGUACUUUAGAUAUGCUUCUCUCAGCCUCGAUUUGGCUUUUAGGCUAAAGGGUUUUCCUAAUCACAGCAAGUGGGUCAAAAAUUAGGAUAGGCUUCCCAUGAAAGACUAAGUACAAUAAUUGAACAAAAGGGGUGAAAGUUGAUUAAAGUGAUGCGAGGAGUAAAUGGAUUCACUUUUACAGGAUCUUCUGAAAUCUGAGAUAAAGGACUGACUCCUUGGCUAAUCUCAGUGCAAUUACCUACUCAUGGAGAUCAAUACUUUUUUACUAUUAAAAAAUAGUGAAAAUUUUUAAGAUUGGUUAAGGAAGAGUAAUGUGUUAUUAGGGGAGGCAAGGAAAACUUAGAUCUAAUUUAGAUUUCUAUGAAAACAGUGGGCAUCAAUAGGAGAACAUAAAAAAGAGACGUGAGUAUUAGGAAAAUACCAAAAGGUUUGGUUAGAAACAAAUCCUCUUGUGAUAGGAGAUAAGACUGAAGACCAAACAGAAAUUAUAACUGCAUAGAUCUUGGUUUUAUUCAUUCAUUUGCUCAUUCAGCCUGUUCACUGGCUCCAACAUAGCUCUUGAUUCUAUCCCAUGUGACAUAUUCAUUGACCAACCAUGUGUUUUGGACAGAUCAGCAGCUAGAGAUCCAAAAACGACUGGUUAGAUGGAAUGUCUUAGGAAAUAGUGUCAUCAGUGGUGUACAAAAUGGUAUUAAACUUUCCCUGGAUGAUGGAUUAAAGAGAGAACAAAUUAAAGGCAUAGAUAUAGCCAUCUGCUAAUCAGGGUUUCACAAGGCAUCUGUACCUUAGGCCAUUCCUUUUGGGAUUUCCACUUGCAAAAAAUAUAGUGAAAUAAAACUUAAACUGAAUAGAAGAAAGAAUUUCUUAGACUCAUUCACAUUCAAUCAAUGUUUACUGAGUGCCUAAUAUGUGCCAAAUAUUAUACUAAAAUGCCGAGGAUACAGCAGAGGGACAAAAAUUCCCUGCAUUUGUGGUGCUUACAUUUUACUGAUACAGUUAAUGAAGAUCAUAAAAAUUUUAAACACUGGAGCAGUGAAGUGAGAUUAGGAAUCCCUGUGCCUUUAAAGAUUGAGAGACUAUCAUUUCCUUGGAAAGAAUUAUGUAUUAUCUUGCAUGUAUGUGUGAAGGCAAAUGAGUAAAGGAAAUGCUUCUUCAGCAACCUCUUUCAAUUCUCUAAAGUUAUUUUCAUUACCUAAAUAUUAAAGAGUGAGAAGGACUUGAGGGGAAAAAAAAUAAAGCUUUUUUUUUGUUGUUUUUUUGAGACAGGGUCUCACACUGUCACCAAGGCUGGAGUGCAGUGGUGCAAUCUCAGCUCACUGCAGCCUUGAUGUCCUGGGCUCAAUCAAUCCUCCCUCCUCAGCCUCCAGAGUAGCUGGGACCACAGGCAUGCGCCACCGUGCCUAGUUAAUUAUAAAACUUUUUUUAGAGAUGGAGUUUUGCUGUGUUUCCUAGGCUGGUCUCAAAUUCCUGUGCUCAAGUGAUAUGCCCACCUCAGGCUCCCAAAGUGCUGGGAUGACAGGCGCGAGCCACUGCACCUGGCCAAAAUAAAGCUUGACCUGAGUUGAUAUGAGGGUGAUGAGACUGAGUAAAAAGCCCAUAGGAUUCCAGCCUGUGUUCAUGUAAGUAUUCAGAACAAGAUAAUCUCUGCUACUCUCUACACUACUUUGAUUUAGGAGUGACUGUACUUGGCUUUAACAACCUCACUUAGGAGAGAUAUUGAGAAAGCCAAAUAUGACAACAUGUGGCUAUUCAGCAUAAUGCAGAAUCUGAAAAACACAAUACGUGAAAAUUGAUUCAACAAACUGGAGGAGAUUACGUGUUUGUUCUGAGGCUAUGUAAGCUUGAGUCAUGGUUCUGCUCUUUGCCCUCCGUGCAACCUUGGAAUAUUUUUACUUUAUUUCUUUGUUCUGUUUCCUCACAUAUGAAACAAAGAUAAUAACAUUGCCUACUAUAUCAAUUAGUAUAAUUAUAGCUUCAGGUAAUGGAAAAGCCAGGUAAUUUGGCUCAGUUCACAAAGACGUCACUUGUUUACUUAAUGAGAAAUCUAGAAGUACAUGGCUUAGGGUUAGUCUGGUGGUUCCACAAUGUGAGGAUUCUAGGUUCUCUAUGAUUUUCCCGACUUUACCUCCACUGUUGAAAAUGGCAGUGGUGGCUCCAGAAAUCUCAUUUUCAUAAUUUCAAGUCCAAAAUCUGGAAGAAGUGAGACCAGGUGGGGGUGUAAGACAGAGAGAAAACCCUCCAAACAUGUCUCUCUUCUUUUCAAAGGAAGAAAAAAUGUUUCCAAGAAUCCCUCUAGCAGAUGUUCUUCUAUGCCUUCGUAGCCAAAAUGGAAUUCCAAGGCCACUUCUAGCUGUAAGAGAGGCUGGGAAACAAAGUAUUUGGUUUGAUAUCCUCUUUAGCUGGAGAACAGGCAAGAAAGAUGGCACUAACAAAGCUGAACACACCGGCAUUGCAAAGGCUGUCUACCAAUUGCUUAAGUCCGAUGAGAUAGAAUACAUGUACAAGUAGGACAAAGUAGAUUAUUAUUUUAUCACAGAUUUAUUAUAGGCAGCAAGGAUAAACAGAAGCCUAGAAACCAGAGCAAGCCAGCUUCCUAAGGCUCAGGAAAGCUGCCCAGGGUGGAUGGAGUUCCGUGUGUGCAUGUCCCAUGUUGCACCACAACUGAGGGACCCUGAAAAGCAUGCUGCCCUGGGUUUAUAUAACCUGGGUGACAUUUGGCACGCUAAGCUCAAGCAUUGCAGAACAUCCUGUUCUAGGAGAAACGAGGACACAGUUUGGGUUGUUCUGGGCAUUUCCUCCUUAUCUCAGGAUGUUGAAUUCUCGGUACAUUCUGCCUGAGAAUUACAUGCAAGAGAGGGAAGAUCUGGGUCAGCCAACAUGAUCUGUCAUCUGGAGACCUGCCCUCUUGUACAUCUCAGAAUAUUACUGUAAAUAUUAAGUGGGAAGAAACGUGAAAUAAUUUCCAUGGCAUGUAAACAUUCAAAAAUGAUAACAAUUAUUUGUCAUCUUUAUUUGCACAGAAGAAGAAGCAUUUUAAUGGAGAGACUUUUUGUGAUGCGUGUACAGAGGACAUUAUUAGUGAAAUAACAGCAAACUUGCUAUUAAUGAGAUCUGCUCAAAAUCUCUAUGAGGUAGUGAAUGCCCCAUCAUGAAGAUUUUCAUGCAGAAUUGGGAUGACCUCUGUUCUUCAGGUAGGAACUUGGAUUAGAUAUGUCUAGGAUUUCUUCCAGUUGAAGUUCCUGUGAUUCUACAAUAGGGUAGUCUGAGGAUCAAGAUACAAAUUUCUUCUCUUAUCUUAAAAUGGACUUAAUUUGCGUUUAGAUAAAUUGCAAUGUUCUGGCUAGAUCCAAAUUUCUAAAAUGAGGAAUAUUAAAAGUCUAACCAUUACAACUCUACUGGCCAGUGUGAUUCAUGCAUCAUUUUCAGAGAAGAGAAUAGCUGCUUAGAUACUGAAAGGUACAAAAUGAUAGUAUUUUCUCUUGUUUAGAGGUACAGAAUCCACUUUAUUUUUAGAUCUUGACAUUCUAAAUACUUAUAUCUCUUCAAGAUAAAAAAAGAACAUUGUUUAUUUUAGUCAGUAUCUUUCCCUUUCUCAUUUGUUUAUACAUUCUUAAAAUAACCAUAUAGUUCUCAUUUAUCAAACUUCCCUAUUGCAUGUACAUUCUUUCUUCCUUCGUUAGGAUUUGGUAAGAGUGCUAUGAAUGUGUUAGAAUGGUGUAAAUGAUACUUGCUGUGUAUGAUUUUUUCCCCCUCCCCAAGCCUGCCAGGGGAGCGAGGUGUUAAAUCUCAUGAGAUUCUUUUACCAAGUCCAAGUUUUAAAUAAAUGAAACUUGUACAGACUCCAACAUACCAUCUUGAGAUAACCUCAGGCCCUGAAGUGUAUCGACAAGCAGAAUGAUCUCAGCCAAGUUGUAAAACUGUCUUUGAAAAGAAUAGCUGGAUGAAAAACAUUAGCAGCAACUGAAUCAAGAGAAAACGUGACUUCAAACUGAAAGGCACUCUCAUGGAAGACAACUCUGUUAUCUUUAGGAUUUCAGAUGCUUUUAGAAUCAAACCUGGAAAGGAUACAAAAAGCAGAAGCAAAACCAACAUUUGGGAGAAGAACAGAUUAAGACAGUAGCUUAUAUUGAAACAUCACUUCUCAUUUGCUGUUUGGACAAUGGUGAUGGAACUGCUGCUUUAUUGCCCACGGAGAAGCGAAGUGAAGAGUCUAAAGUGGGUCUUGCAGUUACACUGGACAAAAGAAGUUUGAAACUGAGGCUUGGUCCUGAAGAAAACAUAGAGAAGCCUGACAGAUUAUAUAUAUUCACAGCUUUGACUUAAAGGUUGCUGGUUGACCAAUAAGUAAUACAAGAAGAAAUGGUCUUUUCUGGAAUUGUCCUUCUUUCCAGGUAUCAAUGGUGAGCAGAAGAGGAGCAGGGAAUGAUGAAAGACCACACAUUCUCCAAAAGUCACUAAGCACUGUCUGCAGAUGGAACAUUCAUAUUUUCACAUAGUAUAAGUCAUAUGAUCUUUGAUCCUCCAUGUAUUGCUAUCCAGCCAUUUACUUUAGAAUGUCAGCCUUUAUACUGAUAUCACACACAUGUUGUAAAAUGUAGUGAAGAUAAACGGGUGAAGUUAAACUUACAAUGCUUUUGCUGUUAUCCAUAAAAAUGCAAUAGGUAUUGCAUAGAAUUAGUUACAAGCACAAAACUGUGAUACCCUAUAUGCCCCUGUUACAAGAAAGUUGUCAUUUUACAUUAUGGGUAUUUAUUCGAUAUUUUCAUAGUUUAAUUACUAACAAAGCAUUAAUAAUGCCAGAUUGUGCUGACAAACAUUGCAGUCUCUGAAUAGGAGAAAGAAUAUAUUCUUUGCACCAUUAUACAAUGAUUUAGAACUUUAAUAGUGUGCUGGGGAAAAAACAUGUAUCUGUAACCUGAAAUAGUUGUUUUACCUCCCUGAGUACAAAAUAUGUCACACAUUCUCUCCUAAAUGUAUUCUCUAUUUUUACCAGUCAUUUUGUUGCUAAAAUGUAAGAUAUGGGGAUGGGAUGUGGGUGAUUGUCUCCGUCCUUUUGGGCUUCUAUAACUAAAAUACCUUAGACUGGGUAAUUUAUAAACAACAGGAAUUUAUUUCUCACAGUUCUGGGGGCUGGAAAGUCCAAGAUCAAGGCUGUGGUGGGGUUUGGCUGGCGAGGGCUCCAUCCUUCUUGCUAUAUCUUCACAUGGUGGAAGGAGCAAACAAACUCCCCCAGCCCUCUUUUACAAGGGCACUAAUAUUAUUUGUGAGGGCUCCACUCUCAUGACUUAAUCACCUCCCCAAAGACCCUACUUCUUAAUACUAACACAUUGGGGAUUAAUCUUCAACAUAUGAAUUUUGGAGGAACACAAACAUUCAGACCAUAGCAAUGUUUAUUGGGGUGAAUGCUCAUUUAACUUUUCCCAGAACAAUCCCUGUUAAGUCUGCUAACCUCCUGUAGUUAAUGAUAAAAUUUCCUUCAUUUUCCGAAGUGUUCUUGUUUGGAUUAUAAAUUAUGUAAUUACCCUAAUGACAAUUAACUAGACAUUUUUUUUCUUACUGUAUAGCACCAGUAUGGGCAAUUGCAGUGGCUUUCAAACUUGACUACAACUCAGGGAGAAAUACAUUUUUCAUCAUAACGUAGUACACACACACACACACACACACACACACACACACGCACACACACACACACAUACACUAGAUAAAGCAAAAGCUUUAGGAAAUGGUACUUGGAUAUUUUCAAAUAUAUUUUAGUCUGUUUUUUAAUUAAAAAUCUCUAGUCAUGAUACAUUAAAUUGACUUAUUGACCCACAGCUUGAAAAAACACCAAUAUUUUGGAUGUGUUUUAAGGUCAUAGAACACGCCUUCUGAUUUUUUUCCUUCCCUAGGUAAUCCUAUGCAAGUUGCCAAUCUUCUCUAAACAACACUCUUCUUCAUCUAUAAAGUAAAUAUUAAUACCUACCUGAAGGUGGCAGAGAGAGUUAACUGAGAUAAUUUGGUUAAUGAGCCUGAAAUCUAGUCAACACUUACUAAAGGUAAUUUCUUCUCCUCUCUUCCGCUUCUAAACCAACAGGACACAGCUGAAGUUCACAGGUUUGUAAAAGUGAAAAAAUAUUUUUCUUAACCCCCUGACCUCUAAAGUUUGGUCAGAGUGUUUAGCCACUGAUAAAACAUCUUUAAGCACUGUUACUUCUAUGUUCAACUAAAAGAGUCACUUUUCAGUAAUUUCCGGUCAAGCCCAUCACAAUAGCACUUGCAGCUUCUCAAAAGAAAAGAAAGAAAGAGAGAGAAAGAAAGGAAGAAAGAGAAUUGAAGGAGGAAAGAAGGAAAAAAAUCAUGAUGAAGAUUUUAAAACAUGUCUUAUUGAGGGAUGGGAUGGUGAGGAAGUUGAUUAUAGUGAUGGAUGUGACAGACAGGGCCCGUACUUCUGUUUCUGUUCUCAAACUAACAGUUUUCACACAUAACCGUUUUCACACAUAACACAUUAGUAGAAUUUCUUUUGAAUAUUUGCCUUGGAAAUAAAACAAUAAUAAUAUAGCAUUUAUUAUAUUUAUUAUAUAUAGAGUGUGUGUGUGUGUGUGUCUGUGUGUGUGUGUAUCCCACAUGUCCACAUGAGAAAUAAUGAAAGAAGAUGGAGCCCAAGUAAGAGAGUCCUGAUGCCCCAUAAUGCAGAGAGACAAAGAAGUGAUGAAAUCAAGUACUCUACCUCUGGGCCGCCAGAAUCCAGGCCUGGUUCCAGAGUCCUCUGGUUUUCACCGUGUUGGGGUGGGGCCUCCCCGGGUGCACAGCUUUUCUGCACUGGUUGGCAUCUACUGAACCUUAGGUGAUCACAGCAGUGGUAAAGACAAGCCAGCUUCCGUCUUUCCAUAGUUUGUUCCCCUGUACUUCAGGAGGGAGGGGAGCCCCUCUAUGGAAUGCAAUACACACUAGGCAUCCUAUCACUAUGUAAGAACUCAUCUUGCUCCCUCAUUUCACAUUACAUCUUUGACUGUCUUGCUCAGUUGUUUCACCUUGGCUAGUUUUUACUCUUUGGCGAGUACUCUCACAACUCUCUUGUAGGCAGGAGCCCAUUUUCUUUUUCUGAGUACUCUGGACUCCUUGCAUGGUGCUUCCUGGGCAAGGGGUGCUCAACAAAUUGUGCUGAUAAUUAAGUCAUUCACUCAAAAUAUAUUUAUUAAGCACCUAGUGACCAAGACAGAAAAAAGUUACUAUUGACCUUCAAAUCACCAAAUCUAAUGAUCAUUCCUUACUGCUCAUCUUCCUCCACCAUUGCUACCUUAGAGGCCUCCCGUGCCUGCCUCCAUUUCCCAGACUUACUGCUUGAUUCUCCCUGGCAAGCUUUCCCUUCACCAUUUUUUUUUCAGCACUUGUAAGGAACUGAAUCUGUCCCCAAUAGUACACAGUUUGAGUUAGAGCCAGGACUAGAACUCAGGCCUGCAUAUAAUCAAAGAUCAGAAAACGGCCAAAUCUUGGUGUUUCUAUUCACAGGGAGGAAACCCAGAUGGGCCUACUCACAAUACAUGCUUCCAAAUGAAAGAACGUUUUUCCCCCUAAGGACAUUGUUAGGACACUGUCUAGCUAGAAGAUAUUCAGAGAAAAUUCACUCCUUUACCUGCCCUAGGGAAAUGGGAAAAUUCAAUGUUUGAGCCAUUUACCCAAAAGAGUAAUCCAUGCUGGAAAUUUUGCUGAAAGUAUUCUUUUAAAAGGCCCUUCUGUCUUUAUUAUGACGAUAAGACUGCUGAGUCUGCCCAAGCAUAUGAGGUUGCAAAGAAUAUUUCUUUUUAUUCAGACCUUGUAUUCUCUACAUGAUGAAAGGAUUCUUGGCACAUAGUUGGCAAUUACUAUCUAGGUUUUCUGCAUAACAUAGGUUUUUUAAACUAAGCUUUUAACUCAAUAGACAUCAGGCUCCAAUGAAAAUACAUGUGGCCUAACACGAGCAGAAAUAAACACAAUUCUAAUCAACUUAACUGUUGACAAAAGCAUGUGGUUUCAUUGCUUGCGGCCAAAGUUGUAAGAGUGGACUCUGAUUUCUUGCAGGAACACCCCUCAUUUAUGUGUGCAAAUAGGGUAAUUAAGUGUCCAAUUACCAGAUUUGCAUUGGCAAAUGGGGGCUUUGUGUGGGUAAAAUUCUCCAUGGUUUGGGACCAGCUGAAACUUAGGUCUUUUCUUUUUGGAUCAAUCCCCCAACAAUAACACGGGCAUGAUGAAGUUCCCUUCUUGUCCUGAUCUGAAGCCAUGGCUGAAGACUUCCCUUAUUUUGGUAAUUCAGUGAAGCGGAGAGCCAAAGUUAGGAUCUGGGGCCUUUUCUUCCUUACUGUCUACUCUGAAAAAUAAUUAAGCAUUUCAAGUAUUUUCAGACUGACUUUUUUUUUUUCCUGCUGGCUCUGUAGAAUUGAUUACUAAGGUGAAAUACUUGUAAAUAUUCCUUUUAAAAAUUUAACCAUAUGGAAGCAUUAAGUUGAAAGACACUUCAUAAAACAACUUUAUUCUUUUCU
rnacentral:lncRNA from 10 species